rnacentral:misc_RNA from 1 species
GAUGAAGAACGCAGCGAAAUGCGAUAAGUAGUGUGAAUUGCAGAAUUCAGUGAAUCAUCGAAUCUUUGAACGCACAUUGCGCCCCUUGGUAUUCCAUGGGGCAUGCCUGUUCGAGCGUCAUUUGUACCUUCAAGCUCUGCUUGGUGUUGGGUGUUUGUCUCGCCUCUGCGUGUAGACUCGCCUCAAAACAAUUGGCAGCCGGCGUAUUGAUUUCGGAACGCAGUACAUCUCGCGCUUUGCACUCAUAACGACGACGUCCAAAAGUACAUUUUUACACUCUUGACCUCGGAUCAGGUAGGGAUACCCGCUGAACUUAAGCAUAUCAAUAAGCGGAGGA